CCUCAUUUUGACUUGUUUUAAAGACAUUACAGCAAAGUUGGAUCAGCCUGUAGUGUGGUUUUCCACUUUGAUUUUGAGUGUGACUCCAUAGCCAGACCUCCAUGGCUUGAUGAAUUAGAUUUUGUUGUCAGCACAUUCAACUAUGUAAAAAUGAAAGUAUUAGUUCAUUCAUUUAGAUCUAGGAUGUGUUAUCUUAGUGUUCUCUUUAUUUAUUUUUUUUGAGCAGUGUAUUUUUUUUUUACUCCACCCUUCACAAAAAUCAGUUUACAUUAUUUCUUUUGACUUGUGUUGGGCUGCUGCAGUCAGAGCCGGCGUUAGGGGGGGCAAACUGGGCAAUUGCCCAGGGCCCCCAUCUCCAAAGGGGCCCCCUGUCUCUGUCCCCGGCGCCCCCCUCGCCCCCGGCGGCGCUGCUGUGACACAUCCUUGCUGUGACACAGAUGUGCGCAGCGCAGGCACGCACGUCAGCGCCUAGCCCCUGAGCUGUGUCUGUGCUGGCAGAAGUACGUGAGGCCGGACCUUGGUGUGAGCUCUGAGUGUCGCCUCCGCCAAUGCAGCACGACCUUACGCCUCUUGGAUAUGGAGUACAACAAAGCUCCACAUGUUGCCACUGGAGUCCUCUUCCAUUCCUCCAAGAUGACAUCACGGAGCUGAUUGAUGUUAGAAAUGUUACGCUCUCCUACAUUUCGUUUGAGGAUGCCCCGCAGAUGCUCAAUAGGGUUUAGGUCUGGAGAUAGGCUUGGCCAGUCCAUCACCUUUACUCAAAGCUUCUUCAGUAAGUGACCUGAAAGUAUCCUCCUAGAGGACAUCAGACAUGUCAAAAUCACUUUGCCUUAUCAGCAGUGAAUGUAUUUGGGGAGAAUAUAGUGACAGACUCAUUAGGAUCUCCUGGUUACAUCACCCAAGAGAAAGGGAACAUUCCUGUAUGACUGAUGCAGAUAGUAGGACUGAUGCUUAUGGUCUGUAACUUCUUCCAUAACUCAAAAUACUCUCUAUGAAUCCUGUCUUUAUCUAAUCACUGACCGGUCGUCAUAAUUUCAGUAUAUAAAUCCCCUCUCAUAUAUACCUCAUUUCCUAACUCAUGUUUUACCAGGUGAUGAACCAUAAAUGCUACAACCAUCUGGUAGACUCAUUUUCCUUCGGCGUCAUCUUAUUUAUAAUAAAAUGAUAGUUU